CAAAACGACUCAGUGUGAGUGUUUGUCUGACAAUGGAGACAAGAAGAUAAGGGAGGGUAAGCCUAACCCUCUAUUUUACUGUUUAGAAUCCUGCAGUUCAGAUAGCAGCUGUAAUGACACACGAGAUGUACGGACCCAUCUAAUACUGGCAGGCACCUGUGUAACUGUUUACCAGGAGCAACACUGUCACCCACAGGACAAUGCCUGUGUGUGUACUAAAGGUUGUAUUUGACUAUUGACAUAUAAUAUAAUUGCGGAAGUGCCAAAAUCCAAUGUAUUAAGUUAACUGACCCACGUGGCUCAGAGUCUUUGCCUCAAUUGUUAAUAUAUAUCAUUGCUUGCGUAGUUUUUUGCUGGAGUUUGUCAGACAGAUGUGGUCUAUUCCGUCAUUACUUACACGUGGGUAGCAUACCCGAUGCAUGUAGUUCGACACAUGCUCAGUUACGUAGUGGGAUGCCCUUGUAGGAAUACAUGCAAAAAGUGAUUAACGUACAAUGUGCGCGUAUAGCUUAUGCUUAUAACUACCCGAGUUAAGGCUUCCAAGAUUAAUAAAUCAAGGAUGUGAUCGCAAUUACUCAGUGCAAUUAAUACAACCAUAAAAAUCUACGAAACAUUUUCGUUUUCUUGACUGCUAGUGCACUGGACUCCAAAUACUUCAUUUCACUGUUAAGUUGUUCCAGAAAUUCUGCCAGUGGAGAAAAAAGGGGAAUAUAUGCGUCAAUACAGGCAUUUAUACACUAUUGAUUAAUAGUUUGAUUUUCUCCCACUUUCUGACAUUUCAGCUGUGCGAGAUAGGCCCGUUUUCUUGACUUCUAGUGCACUGGUCCCCAAAUACGUCAUUACGCUGUCAACUUGUUGCAGAAAUGCUGCCAGUGUCAGAAUAUGUGCAGACAGAAAAAAAAAACACGAUGCCUUCAAAUAUUUGACGCGGUGGUAACAAAAAAGAAAAAAGCAGAUAUGGUAGAAUGAAAUUGUUUAGACAAUUGGCAUCCUUUAGUAACCGAUACUAACCACUUAUAU